rnacentral:rRNA from 1 species
GACGGAGGGUGCAAGCGUUGUUCGGAUUGACUGGGCGUAAAGGGCGUGUAGGCGGUUGGUCAAGUCUGAUGUGAAAGCCCGGAGCUCAGCUCCGGAAGGGCAUCGGAAACUAGCCAGCUGGAGCGCGAUAGAGGAGGGCGGAAUUCCUGGUGUAGCGGUGAAAUGCGUAGAGAUGUGGAGGAACACCAGUGGCGAAGGCGGCUUUCUGGUCUGUAACUGACGCUGAGGCGCGAAAGCGUGGGGAGCGAACAGG